UGCUCCUUGGAUCAGUGGCGAACGGGUGAGUAACACGUGAGUAACCUGCCCCAAACUCUGGGAUAAGCACUGGAAACGGUGUCUAAUACCGGAUACGAGCUUCAGCCGCAUGGCUAGGAGUUGGAAAGAAUUUCGGUUUGGGAUGGACUCGCGGCCUAUCAGCUAGUUGGUGAGGUAAUGGCUCACCAAGGCGACGACGGGUAGCCGGCCUGAGAGGGUGACCGGCCACACUGGGACUGAGACACGGCCCAGACUCCUACGGGAGGCAGCAGUGGGGAAUAUUGCACAAUGGGCGCAAGCCUGAUGCAGCAACGCCGCGUGAGGGACGACGGCCUUCGGGUUGUAAACCUCUUUUAGUAGGGAAGAAGCGAAAGUGACGGUACCUGCAGAAAAAGCACCGGCUAACUACGUGCCAGCAGCCGCGGUAAUACGUAGGGUGCAAGCGUUGUCCGGAAUUAUUGGGCGUAAAGAGCUCGUAGGCGGUUUGUCGCGUCUGCUGUGAAAACCCGAGGCUCAACCUCGGGCCUGCAGUGGGUACGGGCAGACUAGAGUGCGGUAGGGGAGAUUGGAAUUCCUGGUGUAGCGGUGGAAUGCGCAGAUAUCAGGAGGAACACCAAUGGCGAAGGCAGAUCUCUGGGCCGUAACUGACGCUGAGGAGCGAAAGCAUGGGGAGCGAACAGGAUUAGAUACCCUGGUAGUCCAUGCCGUAAACGUUGGGAACUAGAUGUGGGGACCAUUCCACGGUCUCCGUGUCGCAGCUAACGCAUUAA
rnacentral:rRNA from 1 species